rnacentral:RNase_P_RNA from 1 species
GCGGGAAGGAACACGGUCGCGCCUUUGCAAAAAGGUGAGGAAAGUCCGGGCACCGCAGGGCAGGAUGCCAGCUAACGGCUGGGCGGCGAGCGAACCGCUGUGCGUGAGCAGGCGCACGGGAAGGCGCGAAGCCGACGGACAGUGCCACAGAAACCAGACCGCUUGCUCACCAAGGCCGCUCUCACGGCGCAGCAAGUCAGGGUGAAACGGUGCGGUAAGAGCGCACCAGACCGCUUAGAGAUAAGCGGUGACUGGUAAACCCCAUCCGGUGCAAGACCCGACAGCAGCGGAGGGCGGCCCGCCCGUUGAUGCUCAGGAUGGUCGCUUCAGGAGCGCGGCGACGCGCCUUCGCAGAGAGAUGAUCGUGGCUUCCGUAAGGAAGAACAGAACCCGGCUUACUCCCUUCCCGUGCCA